CCUACGGGGGGCAGCAGUCGAGAAUCAUUCACAAUGGGGGAAACCCUGAUGGUGCGACGCCGCGUGGGGGAAUGAAGGUCUUCGGAUUGUAAACCCCUGUCAUGUGGGAGCAAAUUAAAAAGAUAGUACCACAAGAGGAAGAGACGGCUAACUCUGUGCCAGCAGCCGCGGUAAUACAGAGGGCUCAAGCGUUGUUCGGAAUCACUGGGCGUAAAGCGUGCGUAGGCUGUUUCGUAAGUCGUGUGUGAAAGGCGCGGGCUUAACCCGCGGACGGCACAUGAUACUGCGAGACUAGAGUAAUGGAGGGGGAAGCGGAAUUCUCGGUGUAGCAGUGAAAUGCGUAGAUAUCGAGAGGAACACUCGUGGCGAAGGCGGGUUACUGGACAUUAACUGACGCUGAGGCACGAAGGCCAGGGGAGCGAAAGGGAUUAGAUACCCUAGUAGUC
rnacentral:rRNA from 1 species